GAUGAACGCUGGCGGCGUGCCUAAUACAUGCAAGUCGAGCGAACGGACGAGAAGCUUGCUUCUCUGAUGUUAGCGGCGGACGGGUGAGUAACACGUGGAUAACCUACCUAUAAGACUGGGAUAACUUCGGGAAACCGGAGCUAAUACCGGAUAAUAUUUUGAACCGCAUGGUUCAAAAGUGAAAGACGGUCUUGCUGUCACUUAUAGAUGGAUCCGCGCUGCAUUAGCUAGUUGGUAAGGUAACGGCUUACCAAGGCAACGAUGCAUAGCCGACCUGAGAGGGGGAUAGGCCACAUUGGAGCGGAGACACGGUCCAGAGUACUGCGGGAGGCAGCAGUAGGGUAUCUUCCGCAAUGGGCGAAAGCCUGACGGAGCAACGCCGCGUGAGAGAUGAAGGUCUUCGGAUCGUAAAACUCUGUUAUUAGGGAAGAACAUAUGUGUAAGUAACUGUGCACAUCUUGACGGUAACUAAUCAGAAAGCCACGGCUAACUACGUG
rnacentral:rRNA from 1 species